rnacentral:rRNA from 1 species
AUUGAACGCUGGCGGCAUGCUUUACACAUGCAAGUCGAACGGUAACAGGUUAAGCUGACGAGUGGCGAACGGGUGAGUAAUGCAUCGGAACGUGCCCGGUCGUGGGGGAUAACGCAGCGAAAGCUGCGCUAAUACCGCAUACGAUCUGAGGAUGAAAGCGGGGGACCGUAAGGCCUCGCGCGAUCGGAGCGGCCGAUGUCAGAUUAGGUAGUUGGUGGGGUAAAGGCUCACCAAGCCGACGAUCUGUAGCUGGUCUGAGAGGACGACCAGCCACACUGGGACUGAGACACGGCCCAGACUACUACGGGAGGCAGCAGUGGGGAAUUUUGGACAAUGGGCGCAAGCCUGAUCCAGCAAUGCCGCGUGCAGGAAGAAGGCCUUCGGGUUGUAAACUGCUUUUGUACGGAGCGAAAAGGCUCUCUCUAAUACAGGGGGCUCAUGACGGUACCGUAAGAAUAAGCACCGGCUAACUACGUGCCAGCAGCCGCCGCAGUAA